AAUCAACGCUGGCGGCGUGCCUAACACAUGCAAGUCGAACGCGAGAGGGGCUUCGGCCCCGAUUGAGUGGCGAACGGGUGAGUAACGCGUGGGUGACCUACCUUCGAGUGGGGGAUAACGUCCCGAAAGGGACGCUAAUACCGCAUAACAUCCUGCUUUUGAAUGGGUGGAGAUCAAAGCCGGGGAUCGCAAGACCUGGCGCUUGAUGAGGGGCCCGCGUCUGAUUAGCUAGUUGGGAGGUAACGGCCCACCAAGGCAACGAUCCAGUAUCCGGCCUGAGAGGGCGGACGGACACACUGGGACUGAGACACGGCCCAGACUCCUACGGGAGGCAGCAGUGGGGAAUUGUUCGCAAUGGGCGCAAGCCUGACGACGCAACGCCGCGUGGAGGAUGAAGGUCUUCGGAUUGUAAACUCCUGUUGCCCGGGACGAAUGGCUCCGACCUAACACGUCGGAGUGUGACGGUACCGGGUGAGGAAGCCCCGGCUAACUC
rnacentral:rRNA from 1 species